rnacentral:rRNA from 2 species
GGUUAAGUUAUCAAGGGCGCAUGGUGGAUGCCUUGGCACUAGGAGCCGAUGAAGGACGGGACUAACACCGAUAUGCUUCGGGGAGCUGUACGUAAGCUUUGAUCCGGAGAUUUCCGAAUGGGGAAACCCAGCAGUUUUAAUCGACUGUUACUGCUCAGUGAAUUCAUAGCUGAGUAGAGGUAGACGUGGGGAACUGAAACAUCUCAGUACCCACAGGAGAAUAAAGAAAUUUCGAUUCCCUCUGUAGCGGCGAGCGAACGGGGAACAGCCCAAACCAAUGAGCUUGCUCAUUGGGGUUGUAGGACUGAACAUUUGAGUUACCAAAGUGAUGGAUAACCGAACAAUCUGGGAAGAUUGGCGAGACAGGGUGAUAGCCCCGUAGGUGAAAUCCAGCACCCUCAGUUCAGGAUCCUGAGUACGGCGACACACGUGAAACGUCGUCGGAAUCCGGGAGGACCAUCUCCCAAGGCUAAAUACUCCCUAGUACCGAUAGUAC